rnacentral:rRNA from 1 species
AAACCUAAAUAAAAUUGAAAGACAAGAAGACCCUAUCGAGCUUAAAAUAAGUUUCUUGAAAAUAUUAAAGACUAGAUUCAUGAAAAAAUUUUGGUUGGGGCGACUAAGGAACAUCCAAAGCUUCCUAUAAAAUAUACAAACUAAUAAGUUUUGAUCCAAAAAUUUGAUUAACAGAAAUAGUUACCGUAGGGAUAACAGCAUAAUCUUUUUUGAGAGUUCAUAUCGAAAAAAAGGUUUGUGACCUCGAUGUUGGACUAGGAUACCCAGAAAAGGUGCAGAAGCCUUCAAUGGUUGGUCUGUUCGACCACUAAUAUCCUACG